rnacentral:lncRNA from 1 species
CUUUGUUGAGACUGGGAUCUUCCUAAAUUGCCAGGGUUGAGCUGAAUUGCGAUCCUCCUGCCUCGGCCUCCCAGAGUGCUGCGACCAGAGAGUCUAAGGUCCCCAGGCUGGGAUCAAACCUGUGAUCCUCCUGCCUCAGCCUUCCAGAGCCGAAAGUACAGAUGCAGCCACCUCUGCAAAAGCCCCACCUGUGACCACAAGAGGCUCUGAGGGGCCGUCCAGACCCAGCCCUGACAGGGAGUUUCCGCCCUUUGGUCAGAGGAAUGCCAGAUAAACAGCCUGUCAGUUAAGCUUAUCAACAUAGUUACAAUGUCACAGAAAAGAGAUGCCCGAUUCCCAGGCCAGUGGAGUUUCAUCUUAUUCUGAAUAAAGGCCAUAUUAUAUUUAAAAA